GAACCACAGUUCUAUUUCUGUCUGGAAGUGUCAAAUUGCUGUGCGAACUUUUCCUGGGGAGACAAGGAACCAUCUAUUCACUCAGGAGAGGCCAUCAAUGACAGAGCAAAGAAGCUUCCUCUUGAAUCCAGAACAAGGAGGUGAUUCCACCCUGUUGAUGCCUGCUGAACUCUGCUGCAUGCAGAAUAUCCCAACUAGUGAAAUCUACAGCUUGAGUGUAUGUUUCUACACAAUUAUGAUUAGUAUCUGCUUCCUGAGGACAUACCCACCUCCACCCCUAGUCAUCAGCCAUGACAGAGUUGACACCAGAGUUUAUGAA